rnacentral:rRNA from 1 species
GACGAACGCUGGCGGCGCGCCUAACACAUGCAAGUCGAACGAGCGAGAGAGAGCUUGCUUUCUUGAGCGAGUGGCGAACGGGUGAGUAACGCGUGAGGAACCUGCCUCAAAGAGGGGGACAACAGUUGGAAACGACUGCUAAUACCGCAUAAGCCCACGACCCGGCAUCGGGUUGAGGGAAAAGGAGCAAUCCGCUUUGAGAUGGCCUCGCGUCCGAUUAGCUAGUUGGUGAGGUAACGGCCCACCAAGGCGACGAUCGGUAGCCGGACUGAGAGGUUGAACGGCCACAUUGGGACUGAGACACGGCCCAGACUCCUACGGGAAGCAGCAGUGGGGAAUAUUGCACAAUGGGGGAAACCCUGAUGCAGCGACGCCGCGUGGAGGAAGAAGGUCUUCGGAUUGUAAACUCCUGUUGUUGAGGAAGAUAAUGACGGUACUCAACAAGGAAGUGACGGCUAACUACGUG